UGAUAAUCUCUAGAUCCAAACCCUACGAGG
rnacentral:piRNA from 1 species